rnacentral:lncRNA from 1 species
GUCUCCACUCCUGACAGAGGGGGGUUCUUAUAUCGCUCUCUGUCCUGAUUGUCUUCCAGCUCGCAGAGACAAUGUCACCCUGCAGGCUGGAGCCUCUCUGUCUGUCCCCCUGCUCACUGGAGACCCAGUGGAGGUGCUGUUUGACCCUGCAGGCUCAGGAGACUGGACCACAGUGUGUUCUGUCCAGAGCAGCACAGCCAGCUGUGUCCCCCAGUACAGAGACAGAGUGUCAGUGGACAAUCAGGAGCUGAGACUGCAGGAGCUGAGGGCGUCUGAUCAGGGGAGCUACACAGUGAGGGACCUUCAGGGAAACACCAUCAGCACUGUGAUCGUCACUGUCACUGGGGGAGUGUUUCCUGGCCCGGACCCGCCUCGUGCCCGGGCUCCUGUGGGAGCGAUCGCCAGUGCUGCCCUACUGCUCGGAAUUCUGGCACUUGGAAUGGGGAAGAGGAUCGGAACUUACUGGAUCUGUCAGCGGAUCGGGCCGGAGGGCGUCCGGCACCACAGCAGGAGCUCGCUGAUCAGUCCUCCAGCCCAUCGGGGUGACGACAGUGGCUCUAGUCCUGUCGUCACCAAUGGAGCUCUCCCGUCAGCCAAUCAGUCCCUGCUGUUCACAGGGCCCCAGCCUGCCACGCCAGGGGCAGCAUGAAAUAACUACGCUUCCCAGCAUUCCUUCCCCUGUGCCUUAAAAAGCACGCUCAGUUUAAACACUGCGUGUGAAGGAGACUGAAUCAAGUCUGUGGCGAGCAUCAUCCAGGUGGGGCUGCACACUGCUGGGGGGGGGAGGGGAUCCCCAUGACCUGGGAAGAGCUUGGAGUUGAGAGUCCAGAAAAGUGCUGUAUAAGGAAUUAUUUUCUAUAGCUCAUGACUAGAGUGGUGGGGCCUAUCAUGUCAAUUUCACUCAAUUGCUGUCAGAGGGUCAUUUUAGUUUGAAAUUUCAGCUCUUCCUGACAUUGCUUGAGGAUUGGGCUUGGGGCUUUAAAGGAGAGGGGGUAGUGCACCUGUACUGUCUGUAACAUCGUACCCAGUUCUGGGUCUCCUGAGAACUCCCAUCUCCCAAACUACCCAGCAUACCGAGAGAGAUCGGCAGCUCUUGUGAGCCUGAUCCUGCCUGUCCUGAUGACCAGUCUGGAUUAAAGAAAACAGCCCACUGCUUGAGCAUGUUGAUAUC